AUUCCUAAAGCACAUAUUUCCAGCAAUUACUUGAACAAUUUUAACCUUUUAAAUUGGCUUGAUAUUUAGUAUAAUAUGGUUUGCUCGAAACAUGAAAAACAUUCAAUAAUAAAAAUUAACUUAAACAUUAUUUAGGUUGUGUGUAGAAUAUCUCUCUAUUAUUGUUUCAUAUAUUGUAGAUCAAACUGUAAAUUGGUCAUGUCAUGACAAGUUUUUCAAACUAAUGUGAUUUAUGAUUCUAUCAUAGACAUUUCACAAAAAUGGGCAGGCAAUAAAAGUUCC